rnacentral:rRNA from 1 species
UUUUGGACAAUGGGCGAAAGCCUGAUCCAGCCAUUCCGCGUGAGUGAAGAAGGCCUUCGGGUUGUAAAGCUCUUUCGCAAGGGAAGAAAACUUAGGCGCUAAUAUCGCUUGAGGUUGACGGUACCUUGAUAAGAAGCACCGGCUAACUACGUGCCAGCAGCCGCGGUAAUACGUAGGGUGCGAGCGUUAAUCGGAAUUACUGGGCGUAAAGCGUGCGCAGGCGGUUUUGUAAGUCAGAUGUGAAAUCCCCGAGCUCAACUUGGGAACUGCGUUUGAAACUAUAAGACUAGAAUAUGUCAGAGGGGGGUAGAAUUCCACGUGUAGCAGUGAAAUGCGUAGAGAUGUGGAGGAAUACCAAUGGCGAAGGCAGCCCCCUGGGAUAAUAUUGACGCUCAUGCACGAA